rnacentral:rRNA from 1 species
CGGCAAACGGGUGCGGAACACGUACACAACCUUCCUUUAAGUGGGGGAUAGCCCAGAGAAAUUUGGAUUAAUACCCCGUAAUAUUUUCGAGUGGCAUCACUCAGGAAUUAAAGCUACGGCGCUUGGAGAUGGGUGUGCGUCUGAUUAGGUAGUUGGUUGAGGUAACGGCUCACCAAGCCUUCGAUCAGUAACUGGUGUGAGAGCACGACCAGUCACACGGGCACUGAGACACGGGCCCGACUCCUACGGGAGGCAGCAGUAAGGAAUAUUGGUCAAUGGACGCAAGUCUGAACCAGCCAUGCCGCGUGGAGGAUGAAGGUCCUCUGGAUUGUAAACUUCUUUUAUCUGGGAAGAAAUGCAUUUUUUCUAAAGUGUUUGACGGUACCAGAAGAAUAAGCACCGGCUAACUCCGUGCCAGCAGCCGCGGUAAUACGGAGGGUGCAAGCGUUAUCCGGAUUCACUGGGUUUAAAGGGUGCGUAGGUGGGCAUUUAAGUCAGUGGUGAAAUCUCCGGGCUUAACCCGGAAACUGCCAUUGAUACUAUAUGUCUUGAAUACCGUGGAGGUGAGCGGAAUAUGUCAUGUAGCGGUGAAAUGCUUAGAUAUGACAUAGAACACCAAUUGCGAAGGCAGCUCACUACACGGACUAUUGACACUGAGGCACGAAAGCGUGGGGAUCAAACAGGAUUAGAUACCCUGGUAGUCCACGCCCUAAACGAUGGAUACUCGACAUACGCGAUACACAGUGUGUGUC